GCCCGGAUGGCGAAACUGGUAGACGCAGGGGACUUAAAAUCCCCCGGCUUAGGCCUUGCCGGUUCGAGUCCGGCUCCGGGCACCA
rnacentral:tRNA from 1 species